rnacentral:rRNA from 1 species
AUUGAACGCUGGCGGCAGGCUUAACACAUGCAAGUCGAGCGGGGUGAUGGUGCUUGCACUAUCACUUAGCGGCGGACGGGUGAGUAACGCGUAGGACUCUACCUGGUAAUGGGGGAUAACGUUCCGAAAGGAACGCUACUAACGCAUACGCCCUAAGGGGGAAAGUGGGGGACCUUCGGGCCACACGUUAUCAGAUGAGCCUGCGUAGGAUUAGGUAGUUGGUAGGGUAAAGGCCUACCAAGGGGACGAUCCUUAACUGGUCUGAGAGGAUGAUCAGUGACACUGGAACUGAGACACGGUCCAGGCUCCUACGGGAGGCAGCAGUGGGGAAUAUUGGACAAUGGGGGCAACCCUGAUCCAGCCAUGCCGCGUGUGUGAAGAAGGCCUUCGGGUUGUAAAGCACUUUCGGUCAGAAAGAAGGGUGUCAAAUUAAUACUUUGGCAUUUUGACGGUACUGACAUAAGAAGCACCGGCUAACUCCGUGCCAGCCGCCGCAGUAA